GGUUAAGCGACUAAGCGUACACGGUGGAUGCCCUGGCAGUCAGAGGCGAUGAAGGACGUGCUAAUCUGCGAUAAGCGUCGGUAAGGUGAUAUGAACCGUUAUAACCGGCGAUUUCCGAAUGGGGAAACCCAGUGUGAUUCGUCACACUAUCAUUAACUGAAUCCAUAGGUUAAUGAGGCGAACCGGGGGAACUGAAACAUCUAAGUACCCCGAGGAAAAGAAAUCAACCGAGAUUCCCCCAGUAGCGGCGAGCGAACGGGGAGCAGCCCAGAGCCUGAAUCAGUGUGUGUGUUAGUGGAAGCGUCUGGAAAGGCGCGCGAUACAGGGUGACAGCCCCGUACACAAAAAUGCACAUGCUGUGAGCUCGAUGAGUAGGGCGGGACACGUGGUAUCCUGUCUGAAUAUGGGGGGACCAUCCUCCAAGGCUAAAUACUCCUGACUGACCGAUAGUGAACCAGUACCGUGAGGGAAAGGCGAAAAGAACCCCGGCGAGGGGAGUGAAAAAGAACCUGAAACCGUGUACGUACAAGCAGUGGGAGCACAGAGCAAUCUGUGUGACUGCGUACCUUUUGUAUAAUGGGUCAGCGACUUAUAUUCUGUAGCAAGGUUAACCGAAUAGGGGAGCCGAAGGGAAACCGAGUCUUAACUGGGCGUUAAGUUGCAGGGUAUAGACCCGAAACCCGGUGAUCUAGCCAUGGGCAGGUUGAAGGUUGGGUAACACUAACUGGAGGACCGAACCGACUAAUGUUGAAAAAUUAGCGGAUGACUUGUGGCUGGGGGUGAAAGGCCAAUCAAACCGGGAGAUAGCUGGUUCUCCCCGAAAGCUAUUUAGGUAGCGCCUCGUGAAUUCAUCUCCGGGGGUAGAGCACUGUUUCGGCAAGGGGGUCAUCCCGACUUACCAACCCGAUGCAAACUGCGAAUACCGGAGAAUGUUAUCACGGGAGACACACGGCGGGUGCUAACGUCCGUCGUGAAGAGGGAAACAACCCAGACCGCCAGCUAAGGUCCCAAAGUCAUGGUUAAGUGGGAAACGAUGUGGGAAGGCCCAGACAGCCAGGAUGUUGGCUUAGAAGCAGCCAUCAUUUAAAGAAAGCGUAAUAGCUCACUGGUCGAGUCGGCCUGCGCGGAAGAUGUAACGGGGCUAAACCAUGCACCGAAGCUGCGGCAGCGACGCUGAUGCGUUGUUGGGUAGGGGAGCGUUCUGUAAGCCUGCGAAGGUGUGCUGUGAGGCAUGCUGGAGGUAUCAGAAGUGCGAAUGCUGACAUAAGUAACGAUAAAGCGGGUGAAAAGCCCGCUCGCCGGAAGACCAAGGGUUCCUGUCCAACGUUAAUCGGGGCAGGGUGAGUCGACCCCUAAGGCGAGGCCGAAAGGCGUAGUCGAUGGGAAACAGGUUAAUAUUCCUGUACUUGGUGUUACUGCGAAGGGGGGACGGAGAAGGCUAUGUUGGCCGGGCGACGGUUGUCCCGGUUUAAGCGUGUAGGCUGGUUUUCCAGGCAAAUCCGGAAAAUCAAGGCUGAGGCGUGAUGACGAGGCACUACGGUGCUGAAGCAACAAAUGCCCUGCUUCCAGGAAAAGCCUCUAAGCAUCAGGUAACAUCAAAUCGUACCCCAAACCGACACAGGUGGUCAGGUAGAGAAUACCAAGGCGCUUGAGAGAACUCGGGUGAAGGAACUAGGCAAAAUGGUGCCGUAACUUCGGGAGAAGGCACGCUGAUAUGUAGGUGAAGCGACUUGCUCGUGGAGCUGAAAUCAGUCGAAGAUACCAGCUGGCUGCAACUGUUUAUUAAAAACACAGCACUGUGCAAACACGAAAGUGGACGUAUACGGUGUGACGCCUGCCCGGUGCCGGAAGGUUAAUUGAUGGGGUUAGCGCAAGCGAAGCUCUUGAUCGAAGCCCCGGUAAACGGCGGCCGUAACUAUAACGGUCCUAAGGUAGCGAAAUUCCUUGUCGGGUAAGUUCCGACCUGCACGAAUGGCGUAAUGAUGGCCAGGCUGUCUCCACCCGAGACUCAGUGAAAUUGAACUCGCUGUGAAGAUGCAGUGUACCCGCGGCAAGACGGAAAGACCCCGUGAACCUUUACUAUAGCUUGACACUGAACAUUGAGCCUUGAUGUGUAGGAUAGGUGGGAGGCUUUGAAGUGUGGACGCCAGUCUGCAUGGAGCCGACCUUGAAAUACCACCCUUUAAUGUUUGAUGUUCUAACGUUGACCCGUAAUCCGGGUUGCGGACAGUGUCUGGUGGGUAGUUUGACUGGGGCGGUCUCCUCCUAAAGAGUAACGGAGGAGCACGAAGGUUGGCUAAUCCUGGUCGGACAUCAGGAGGUUAGUGCAAUGGCAUAAGCCAGCUUGACUGCGAGCGUGACGGCGCGAGCAGGUGCGAAAGCAGGUCAUAGUGAUCCGGUGGUUCUGAAUGGAAGGGCCAUCGCUCAACGGAUAAAAGGUACUCCGGGGAUAACAGGCUGAUACCGCCCAAGAGUUCAUAUCGACGGCGGUGUUUGGCACCUCGAUGUCGGCUCAUCACAUCCUGGGGCUGAAGUAGGUCCCAAGGGUAUGGCUGUUCGCCAUUUAAAGUGGUACGCGAGCUGGGUUUAGAACGUCGUGAGACAGUUCGGUCCCUAUCUGCCGUGGGCGCUGGAGAACUGAGGGGGGCUGCUCCUAGUACGAGAGGACCGGAGUGGACGCAUCACUGGUGUUCGGGUUGUCAUGCCAAUGGCACUGCCCGGUAGCUAAAUGCGGAAGAGAUAAGUGCUGAAAGCAUCUAAGCACGAAACUUGCCCCGAGAUGAGUUCUCCCUGACUCCUUGAGAGUCCUGAAGGAACGUUGAAGACGACGACGUUGAUAGGCCGGGUGUGUAAGCGCAGCGAUGCGUUGAGCUAACCGGUACUAAUGAACCGUGAGGCUUAACCUU
rnacentral:rRNA from 1 species